rnacentral:ncRNA from 1 species
AUUAAAGCUGUGAAGAAAAGAGUACCGGUUUUCUAUAUGCGCAGAGAGAAGAUGUUUGGUGUAAAUCUUCGUGAGGAAAAUCGGGAAGUCGUUUCGGAGCUGCAGGGCUGAACGAUUACAUAUUAUCUAUUAAGCUCUGUCGGGGGUCGGCCGUUAAUCCGAGAAACGGUAUUACUAUGCCGUUGAGUGCAGAGCAUGCUCUGAAUUUAGGUGGUACCACGGAUUUUAUAAUUCGCCCUAAGC